AAAGCAACGAGUCACGUAAGCAACAACAACAAAACAUACCUAGUGUAAUUCUCCAAAUGGAAUAGACGAGUCCCGUAAGCAUGUUAUUAUUAUAGGAGACAAAUGUAUAUAACUCUAAGAAGUUGCAGACACACAAUAAAUACCAAAAGUGAAAGGGGAAAGAAAAUCGCUGCUCCACAGGUUUCAGAUAUACACACAAUCCAUGGCAUAGAGACCAGUUCCUCUCCACCACAAAUAUUUUGCACAAAAUGUUACCAAACAGGUUUCUCUCCAGGCAGAUAUGAUGGAGAAUCUCCCUCUACUUGGUUUUUCUUCUUGUGGAAAAUGCCACUGAUACUAGGCAUCAGUACUUUCUUCUUUGACACUGAUGUCUUUGCUUUCUGCAACUUGCGCAUUUCCAUUAUGUUCUCUUGUGUGUUUUGCUUCUUGGUUUCAACGGGUGAGUGCAUCUUUACAUGUGAUUCCAUGAAUUUCUCAGAUGGUUUCUCCUUCUGAACUGUGUAACUUUGAGGAGAAGAUCUGUAGUUCAUAUGUGUUUCAGCAAGAAUACGAGAAGCUGCCUCAGCUGCCUUCUUUUGCUCACGUUCUCGCCACCUUCUAAGCUCCCCUUCUACGGCCUUCUUGGCAGCUUCUGCCAUCUCUGCCUUCUUCAAGGCUUCCUGAGUAGCGGUUUUUAUAUCAUUAAUCUCCUUUUGAGUUGACUCCAACUUCUUGAGGGCCUCAUUCUCACUUGCUUUCACGGCCUCUACCUGAGCCAUUGCAGCUCCCACUCUUAUUUCUGCUAAAUUAUCAAGUUCUUCAACUUUACGGCUCAAUGAGUCAAACUCGUCUCUUGAUAAAGUAAUACGAGCACCAGACUCAGAAGUUGAGGAUCGUGCAGCUGUGGUUUUUUCAGAUAAAAUCUUAAUUUGAUCACGAGCCUCAGCCUCAGCUGAUUUUGCUUCUUCAGCUUCUUCCAUCGCCACUUUAAGCUUCUUUUCUGCAUCUUCAAGCGCCAUUCUAGCGGCUUCAGCUUCUUUCUUUAACUCUUCUGCUUGCAUUUUCAUCUCUUCAGCUUCAAGCUUUGCGUUUUCAGUCUCCAAGAUCAGCUGGUGGAGAGUAGAGAUCAUUUCUUCAGAAGCACCUCUUGCUUUGGCUUCUUCUGCAACUGCUACUUCAAGCUCGGAUUUGGCUUUACGGAGCUUGACAUGCAGACCCCCUGCAAGUGAUUCCGUCUCUGCCUCCUUUUCCUUCAGAUCAUAAUGUUCUUUCUUGAUGUUCUCCAGGUCCAGUUUAAGGGUCUCCACCAAGGUUUGAAGAGUACUCUCUUCUUCUGCGACCUUACGUAGUGAUUCCUUAGCAUCAUCCAGCUCUGCAGUGACAACUUUCACCUUAUCAAGGUCAGAAGACUUCGCACUGUCCAUUUCUUUCCUCAAAGCUUCAAUUUCAGACAUUGUUUCAGCUAACUGUGCUUCAAGACUCUUGGCUAAAUCUGCAUCAGUCUCUUUCUUCAAAGCAAGUAACUUCUCUGCUGACUCUUCAAGUUUAGCCUUGUAGGACUGCUUCUGGACAUCCUUUUCAGCAUAAAUCUUUGCUUCCUCUUCCCGCUCCUGCACACAGGCAAGUUUUAGUUGAUCAACCGACUCAUGGACAACUGCUAUUUCCUUGGAAAGCUCUCUAGCUCUUUCCAUAUUUGCUUUGGCAGUACGCUCAGCUUCUGCUGCCUGCUCAAUAGCGCCACCUUUUUCUUCCAUAAAUGUAUUACAAUCCUGGCGGAUUUUCCUCAGCUCUUGUUUUGCUUUAUCAAGAUCAGCUAUUUCAGCCAUAUACUUUUCUCUUGCAGUUUCCAGAUCCACUUUCCAAGAACCAUCCUUCCCCAUAACAGAACCAUCAUUUGGUGCUUCAAGUUGGUUCACCUGACUCUUUGCUGCUUCUGUUGCCUUGACAGCCAAAUCCUUCGACUCGCAAACAAUUUUAAGCUUUUUGGUAAGGUCAUCAACAGUCCGUUUUGCCCUUUCGAGCUCAGUAAGUGCUUGGGCUCUAGUGGUUUCUGCAUUUUUCAACUGAUCCUUCAACUUGUUCAGCUCUUUCUGAGCUAAGUGAAGCCGUGUUUCCUUUGCCAGUACCCUCUCUGCGGACUGAGGUCUUGCCUUCCUGAUUGCAGGUUUUUCCCCUGAGAAUGCACCUUCCCCAAACAAGUUAACAGCAUCUUUGACAGACUGAAAUGGUGCACUUGUAUCUAUCUCCCCAACAUGUACUUUUGGAGAUCCAGUAGGUUUAUUACGGUCUUUUGAAACCAUAUCUUAAUCUUUUACACAGAA
rnacentral:misc_RNA from 1 species